GUCCAGCACAGCAGUCAGUAAGUUGAGUGUCCUGCCUGAGCUGGCUGAAGCAGGACAGCCUGGCAUCCCUGGCACCAGCAAGGAAACACAGCAAUGACAGAAGCCAUAGCCUGCCUGCCUUCCCUACUCUAAGCAUGGCCGUGUCUCUGUAAGCUAACCUAAGUGAGUGCUACACAAGCAGACGAGAUAUAGCCUGAACUGCAUUUGCAUCAGUGGUAGUCUGAGAAAAAGCAAAGCAGGGAUGUUUAAUUCUAGAAGUUGUCUUGAAUCACACCUUCUCCAUAAAUAACAAAAGUAGCUGAAGGAAAACUAUUCCAGCUUUGCUGCUGCUCUCCGUAGCAUGAGAGCAAUGUCCAAGGCACCCAGCACUGGGAUGGUGGGAACCUAGCUGACUUAUAGCUUUCCUAGG